rnacentral:snoRNA from 1 species
CCGAUGUGGAUACUCCCGGGAGGCCACUCUCCCUGGGCUCUGUCCAGGUGACAUGGAGGAGCACGGGGCUCUGCCCCAUGAUGUACAGUCCUUUUCCACAACUUCGGAGAUCAAGGCGGGCGUUGAGUGUGCGCCUGCAUAUUUCUACAGCUUCUCAGAGUCCUGUGGACAAUGACCGAGGAGACAAACCAUGCAAGAAACAGUC